rnacentral:sRNA from 1 species
UGAGAUCAAGGGGAAGUAUCCCAGCCA